ensembl:lncRNA
AGUAUCAGAUUCCAUUUGGCACCAGCAUGUCACACUGACAGCUGGCUUCUCAUAUAUUUGUAUAGCUUUGUGCCAGUCAGUUGUCCAGCUGCCAUUAACUUAAUCUCCCAGCCCCCUUUUCACCAUUCAGCAUCAUGCCACCCCUUUAUCCAUAUGCACAAAUCUCAAUUGCAAGCUAACCAGUAAAUAUGUCUGGUCUUUCUAAUGUCCAUCCAGCAUCUGCUACAUGUAGACAAGAACUACUUUCCAUUUGGGUGGAGUAGAUCCAGCAUCCUUGUGGUGUGCACGCUGACUCACUUAUAUGGCUUACUGGAACACAUAUCUAAUUUGUUUAGCUGUGCUUUUCCUGUAAUCAAAGUAAAAGAAAAAAUAUUUUUGACGGGAACAUUUUUUGUAAGUUAGUAGAAAUAUGAGAGGAUGAGAAGGCAGGAAACACGAAAGAACAGGUGAAAGGAUAGACGGGCUCAGUCAUGUAAGCCAUGAGGGCAUGGAGUGGCAAUGAAACUUUUAUUGAAACUAUGUACCUGUGGUUUCUAAUAUAACUGCUGAGAACAAGAUAUAUUUACCAAGAGUGUCCUAAACUAUCAGGAGUGCUUGUUUUGUUUGCCAAACCAUGUGCAGGUAAAAUUAAAAUUAACCCUAAAUAACAAAUCAUUUAUUUUGCUUAAACCUUUUUUUUUUUUUUUUUUUAAUGCUGCUAAAUUGCUGCUUAUUUUGUGUUUCUGUCGGACUAAUAAGGCUUUACAUCAAGUUAUUGUGUAUCAACACAUAAACACCACUGAACUGAUACUACUGAAUGGCCCCCAGAUCAGGGGCGGAUCUAGAGGAAUUUUUUUUAGGGUGACAUGGAAAACAAAUGGGGUGGCAAAAUCAAAGCCUUUAAAAAACCCCAAAACAAACCAAACAAAAACAAAAACACACAUAUGCAGGUGUUACAUAUGGUUAAAACGAUUCAAAUGCAGUAAUUAUACACAUUUCAUAUAAAUAUGGUCUAUAACGUAAUUAUUUUCUGUAGCCCACAUAAACAUA